UCACAGACUAACACCUAACCGAGUCAGUUCCGAGGCCCUGCGUCAUUAGUUUAACCAGAGCUCCGGUUUAAACCGAAACCACACUGCUAAUCGGCCAUCAGUUUACACAAAACGCAAGAUCGAUUAUCCGGUCGCCUCCCGGGCCGGGGGCCUUUAACUCGAGUCGCUAAUCCGUUUCCUUGUAUCGCCCCGUCUCCGACCUCGCUCGCCGCCAUGGAUGGUUCGAAGGGGAGCGUAGGUGGCGGGGACGGGACCGGGCCCGAAAAGCCAAGCGCCGAUUCGAACCCUAGCCUUGACCCGCCCCAACCUACCGCGGCGGCUGUCGAAGCCACAGAUGACGGUGCGGCCGCGGCUGCGGCCGAGGCGGCCAGGCGGCCCUUCACGGCCCUCAGCCAAGAGGAAGCUGACCUCGCCCUCGCCCGCGUCCUGCAGGAGCAGGAGCGGGCGUACAUGUUGCUUCGGAUGAACGGGGGCGGUGGCGAGGGCAGCGACUACGGGAGCUCUGAUGAAGGGAGCUACGAAUAUGACGAAGAGGGAGAGGAGGACUACGAAGAGGAACUGGAGCACCGCCUCCGCGUCCACCACCACGAGCACCCCUCGGGCGAUGGUGAGGGAGAGGGCGGGGGCGAGGGCGAGGGCGCCGAGGGGAGCGACUACGACGAAGAGUUCGAGGAGGACGAAGAAGGGGAGCCGGAGGUAGAUCCCGCGGAGUUUGAGGACGAUGAGGCUUAUGCGCGUGCGCUGCAGGAUGCUGAGGAGCGUGAGGUCGCCGCACGGCUUAUGGCUCUCGCUGGUCUCAGCGAUUGGCGAACAGUGGAGGUGGAGCAUGAGGAGGAUCAUGCGAAUGAUCCACAGGAGGCAUGGCAAGAGGUCGAUCCAGAUGAAUACUCUUAUGAGGAGCUAGUCGCAUUGGGUGAAGUAGUUGGCACAGAAAACAGAGGUCUCUCUGCUGAUACACUUGGUUCUUUACCUUCAGUAACAUACAAGCUGCAACAUGUUCAGGAUGGCAACACAGAGCAAUGCGUAAUUUGCCGUGUGGAAUUGGAGGAGGGUGAAUCUUUGAUUGCACUCCCCUGCAAGCACUUAUACCAUCCUGAAUGCAUAAACCAGUGGCUGCAAAUAAAUAAGGAAGAUUGAAAGAGCAAAUCAAUAAACCUUGGAAGCAGUAUAUAUUUCAGCAUUUCUGCUGGCGGAUCAUGCCAUGUCAACCCCUACCUUGAAAAGUAUGCCCUAUGUGCAGCGCAGAAGUAUCAACCUCGGGUAACAAGGAGCCAUGACUGCUCCUCCGAUGGCUAUCUUGGGAACUUGGUGGGAAUAACUAGCGGCAUCACUGCAGCAUCUGUAUUGUCGAAACAAAAGCAGAAAAAACGGUCUACAUACAUGCAAGGAGAUCAGGAUAUAAUCCUCUUGUCAGUCUAAAGUUCUGCCCUUGGUUCCCUGCUAACUGGAUUGAUUGGCCUUGCCGCUUAUUAUCUCAGUUCCCUAUGAACGCCUUAUGGCUGUUGUAUGAUCCAUAAAUUAUGCUAAUUAUAUUAUAUUGUUAGUCAUUCUUUUUACUGAUCGCAUGAUCAUCUUAUA